ACGCUCGACACCUACGGGAGGCAGCAGUGAGGAAUAUUGGUCAAUGGGCGCUGGCCUGAACCAGCCAAGUAGCGUGAAGGAUGAAGGCUCUAUGGGUCGUAAACUUCUUUUAUAUAAGAAUAAAGUGCAGUAUGUAUACUGUUUUGUAUGUAUUAUAUGAAUAAGGAUCGGCUAACUCCGUGCCAGCAGCCACGGUAAUCUGAGCGGGCUGGCAAGGC
rnacentral:rRNA from 1 species